rnacentral:lncRNA from 1 species
CUGGUGUUAGUGGAUUUUUCUUCCAGAAGCUGAAAUUGGGCAACCCUCAAGCCGGGAGUGGAACGAGCAGUGAGAUGUGAUUGCCUGGUGUGCGAGGCAGCCAAAAUACACAGCGACAUCCCUAUCGCUUCAUCUCCCAUCAGGGGUGAACGCCUCUGCUCUCCCCUGUGUGCUCUCCAGCCUGCGUAACACUGACGUUGUGCUGGGCCAGCUGAGUAGGAUAUGGGCAGGAUCAGGCCAGACCGGAUGGGGUUCCCGUGGCUGAUUCCUCUGGGGAAGAUGCUGGAUGCAGCAUGGUUCUUGAGGAGAGCUGAAGAAAGAAGGGGACUGCAGGAAUUCACAGUCCAAAAUGAUGACCAAGCCUUCCCUGUGAGGGCCUUGACUUCUGCCAUCCCACCCCUGUGGCGGUGGUUCUCCAUGGAAGACCAACAGCAUCUCCCACAUCUUUCCUUUUGCUCUGAAGGACAACAGGUAGCUUGCUCCUUGAGCAGUCAGCUUGCUCUUGACGCGAUUGCUCUUGGACAAUCAUCUGAGGGCCGCUAAUGUCCUGCAAAUUGCAUCUUUCACAUUUUGCAGCAUAUCCCCUUACGGUUCCUCAUGCCCUUGGCUCAGUGUUGGGAUGUUGGAGCUGGAGUGGGGCUGCUGUGCAGCCAGCCUGGCUCCUUUAGCUAACACAAAUCGUGGUUGUCAGGUGCAGUCUGGGAAAACAACAUUUCCAAUUCAAAACAGUGGAUUUCUGAGGUAGGAAAUUCCUGCCCCAUCAAGGACGCAGUAUCUAUCUUCACAGAAGGAUUUCUUUUUGGUUAGAGUAAUCCAUCGUGGCCAUUAGAGCAUCUUUCUUUGUUAACGUCUUGGUGUUGGGGUGAAGCUGAUCAGCCCAAAGGGGCAAAGACAUACUUGGUGAGAUAUCAGCCCAUUGUCUGAUAGUAUGUCUCUGAAGCACCACCAGUGAAGUGUAAAGGCAAUCUGUGGAUGUCAUCAGAGCUGACAGCUCUUUUCGGAGGACAUAUUUAUUUCUUGAUGCUCAGCUUCCAUGUUUACAUGUAGAUCAAUCACAGUUCUUCUUGGAGGAUCUAUAA